AUCAGUAUCUUUGAGUGUUAUUAGCACGAAUGAAGAACUUAAGAAAAUGUGAUAAAGAUCAAUGCAAACCGCAUGGCAGUGGUAAAAUUUGCAAGACUAGAAACAUUUCACUUUGGCGAAAAAUUUUUUUGAUGAGAUCAGAUGUGAAAAUGACACAUCCAAGGACAUCAAGUUUGGGCCGUUUGACUCUUCUUAUCUUGGUUGUGUUGUGUGUUGGGAUGCAGAAAGAAGUUGGUCGUAAGAAGAUUGAAAUGUGUCAAGAGCAAUAUGAUCAGCUAGAAAAUGAUGUGAAAUUGUGGAAAGGGAGAUGCGUGAAUCAAAAUGGCACCUAUAAUAAUAGCAUCAGAUGCAACGAAGAAAAGGAGUACAACAAGGAAAGAAUGAAAUCUUACACGGAAAUAUGUUUCUACAACUAUGGAACUUAUCCCGGUACAUACCUGUUCUUGUUGACAAAAACGACGAUUGAUUCCAUCGAUCUUCUAACAAAACAUGUCUCAAAAGGUGUUAUCAGUGGACUGACAACAAGUAAUACCAUGGAUAUUGAUAUUGUUGAUCGCAAGGUUUAUUUUAGCGACAAAGACGACAUAAAAAGGGCAAAUUUUUAUGGUACCAACGUCGAAAUGUUCGUAAAAAACGCCAAAGCCAAAGAUAUGACAAUUGACUGGAUUUGUCGUCGUUUGCUUUAUGUUGACGGUGGAGAAAUAAUUUAUAUGAUCGAUUUAUAUGAUAAGAACGCGGUGGAGUUUAAAACCAAGUCGUACUUGAACGGAAUAGCAAUGGAUCCUAUAAAAGGGAUAGUGAAUGUUGUCAGUUAUCGGCGUUGUAACAAAAGGAUUGUUUGUAUUUGGACGAUAUCUGAUAAAAAUCCAUUCUCGUCAAUGUUUACUGCUGAUGUACGCGACGUGUUUUUUGAUGUGGAGAACGAAAAACUGUACUACAUUAUACCCAAUGGACUCUUAUCACGUAGUUAUGUAAAUAAUCAAUCAACAUGGAAUACAAUGGACUACACUGCGACAAAAAUGGUAGCAAAUGCUAAGUUUUUGUACUUGUUGGAAGAUGCAAAUGAUUUUAUCCAUGUUCAUGAUGGAUCAAGCAUUCGUACGAAGGAAGCGUUUGACAUCCCCAAAGCUACAUAUCUUGAUAUAGCUUUAAUGAACAGCAAUACACAAGAGAUUACGUCACGUGGUCGUCAAGGUAACUGCUGCGUAUUGAACAACGAGACAAGGUUUGUGCUCGAUGAAGUGCAAUGUACAGUGGCGGGACUGGAACCGUCUAAAGCGAAAUCUUACUCCAUUAUGAUUUUGAGAAAACGGUAGAUAAAAGGUGUUGGAUCAGUCAAUUUAUCAGAGAAAUGCGACAAUAUAUGACCAAUAUUUGAACCUAACUAGUGGAAAGUGUAACAAUGGCGUAUUGUUGAACCAUAGACCUUUAAGAUUUAGAGAUUUGUCUUCUGGUGUUGGUAACAUUUCAAGUUUUAAUAUAACUAUUGCAGCUUGGAUUUAUUUAAAUGAGUUUUAUGUUUUGAAAGCAAAGGAAAAAUGUCCACUUUGUAACAGAACCAUCCCAUGUAAAAAGUCUGCUGAUGACAGAACACUUUUUUCAAGUUUUAUGCACCUAAAUCCCAAUGACAUAUUUUUCAAAUUUGAAGUCGGGAAAGAUGGAUAUCUUCGUUGGUAUUUCUUGUUUGAAAAACCCUUUAAGCUUCAUGAAAUUAAAUCUAGGAUAAAGCUUGGUGUUUGGCACCACGUUGCUGUCAGCUUCACCUUCUUUCGAGGACAAACAAAUUGCACAUUUUUCAUCAAUGGCACAGAGUUUCAAAGUAAAUCCUUACAUACUGAUAAGUACAACAAAACGUUGACGAACGUACGAAUUGGUCCUCUUGGUAGACUCAAUUUCAUUGGUACCUCUGGUGCCUGUGGUGUAAAGCCAUUCAGUGGUGUUAUUGAUGAUCUUUACGUGUUGAACAUCUCCAUGUCUCGUGAGGAAAUUCGUCGUUUAAUGAUGACGCCUUGCGAAAAAAGCAAAUACUACAGAACCUAUCCUUCCUGCGAGCUUUUUUACUACGCGUCGUCAACCUUGGAACUGCGCGAGUCGAAGCAGCCACAGCUUAAAAGAAGCGUUGAAACAUCUCUAUG